CCAAUCCAUUAACGUUGCCCCGUCCAUUUCAAGUGACUCUCCUCUAUAUGAUUCCACGAUACCCUGCAAAUUGUCAAUUUUCAUUGCUUUGUUACAACGCACGAGAGAUAUCUAUUAAAGUGGGGAUAGGAGCAAGAUAUAAAACAUAUUUUUUCUCUUACCAAGUAGUUAGUUUCUAUAAUUAAUCUUUUCUAUAAUUAGUUCCUAUAUAUUACAUUGCAUUGUUCAUACCAAUUGAACUACGUUUACGGGGAGAACACACUCUUUAUUUCAACAUAAACACUAAUCUACAUCUACAUUACAUACAAUUGUUGAUAAAAAAAAAAAGUGGUAUGGCUAAUGUGCCCCGAAAAAGGUAAACAAAAUAGAUUGACUGACGCAAGAGAAGGCAUCAUAGAAUAAAAACGGCUAUAGAUAAAGAUAUUAGAAACAUGAUUUCAUCCAUUAUUUCAUGCAUGCAUAACAUUAAUUUGAUUACGCCAACAUCUCUAUCUAUUUUUUUCUUUCUUUCUUUUAUUAGUACAUGUAAAUGUAACGUAAUGAUCGAACCAUCAAAAGUGUGUAUAGUAUUCUCUUUCAUUUUGUUCUUAUUUUAUUUAAUUAUAAUAAAUUCCUUCCCCCACGCUGUCCCCUGUUUGCCGAAAACAUACGCUUUGAACACUUGGGACUGAAUUGUAAGAAUUUUGAGACCUCAAUAACCAUUCUAAGUGCCAACCCACUUUGGAUUGCAACUGAGAAAAAAUAUAAUAAAAUAUGACAAUGGAAGUUUGCUUGUCGUAUCAUUUCCUUUAAUAAUUAUUAAAACCAAUACAUAGAGGGAAUAUGAAAAGGAAAAUCACUAAUGUGUCGACCAACCAUUUCCUAAUGCACCCACUACUAUCAUUGUAGCUUUAUACAUAUAUCAUUGACACCAAGACCUAACUAAUUAAACUUAUCCUGAAUUUUUAAAUUAUUUAAUGCGUCUUUUUAUCUUAAGUAAGUACACAAUCCAAUCUAAUCCAUAUAUAUCUAUAUAUCCAAUUUUAUGAUUUUUAUCUAUUGCUUAUCGAUUAGGCAUUUUUUAUUAUUUACCAAUAUAUGUUGCUAUAUAUAUACUCCAUAUAUGCUUCAUUCGUUUCUUGUCUUUGGCUUUUCACAUACACCUAUGGUUCACUCGUUCAAAUAACUUUUUUAAUUAGAGAUAAUAACGGCGCCCCGCAAGUGUCAAGAAUAUUAUUAAUAACCAUACAGACGAAGGAAUGGGGGCACAUCACAAAAUUUGAGCAAGAGUAAACAAAGAUUCUAGAUUCAAGAUAUAGUCACACCUUUUCAUUUGAGAAGUGAGAGCCAUACCUCUUCUCUAGCUAAAGGAUGUUUAAACUCAUGGUUGGAUUUCAAUUAUGAGUGUAGUUUAAUCAUAUAUCGUCUUUGAAUAGAUAAAAUAUUGGAUAUAUAAGAGAGAUGACUCAUAUUUAGUGUCUUAAUUUUUUUAUAGAGAUGUUGUGUAUAUCUCUCUUGUGGAUAUAUUAGAUAUAAAAGAGAGGUGACUUGUAUACCUAAUGUUUUAAUGAUUUUGGUGUUCACCAACAAAUUUGUUUAUUAGUAACACCAUAAAACAAAGGCAUAGAAAAAAAAUAUUUUAUGGACAAUAAUUUUGUGGCGAUCAAUAGUUCAUUUUGUGUAUUUUUAAAAAGUUCUGAAAAUAUGUUUUACGUGUUGAUUUGUUUACCUAAUCUUCACCUCUUUAAUUUGAUCUAAGAAAUAGUUUUGCUAAGUAAUGAGUUCAUCGGCCAUUCUAUAUGCAUGCAUGUAUAUAUUAUGAUUGAUGAAUAAUAAUGCAAAUAAUUUUUACUACUUUAUUUCCACAUUAACGCAAUCACCAUAACACCCUUUGCUAGUUAAUAGUUGACUUAUCGGAGAAAGUAUGAUUGGAUAACUUAUCUUGUCACUAGAAAUUAGAAACUCGAUAACAAAAGAACUAUAGCAAAAAUUAAAAUGCACAAAGAAAGAAAUGUUGAUUGUUUAUAGUGGAGAAUGUUGGGCUAGCUAGUUGAGCCGUUAGGCUCAUAUAUUCAGAUAUUGCUAAAACCAAAAAGAGUGUCAACGUAGAUUUGGAUUCCAAAGUUAUAAAAGGAGGAACACUUUAAACUUAAAGUGUUAGGCAAAGGUAGACUUGCAAUAAAAAUAGAAAGAACCUUAAUUACCAAGCAAUUGAUGUUUUUUCUUUGUAUAGGGAAUUAAGUAAUUUGUCCAUGUGAUACAAAUUAGUUAUCAAAAAAUAGAUUCUAUAUUUAAUUUUCAUGUAAGAGAGUGAAAAGAGUGUGAUCUUUCAUCAUUUAAAAAGAAAAAGAAAUGCAUGAAAAUUUUCGAUGAGAUAAAUUUAAAUGAUGAAAUAUUUCACUUAUUUUCUCAUGUGAAAAUUAUAGACUUAGAACGCAAGGUUUGCCCAAAUCUUCAAACAAUGAUCACCGUGGCAUAAGCAUUGCUACGUUUUUGUUUGAAAUUUGAGACAUAAUUUCCUCUUUUACCUUUACUUUAUUAUAAAGUUAUGUUGAAACCAAAAUCAUAACGAAAACUUCUAUCCUAUGGAAUCUUCAAUCUUGCCAGUUGCCAAUCCACGGAAGCACGAUGAAUUCAUCACUCACUCUGCCCACUUUUGGAUCUUUAGAAAUUGCACGUGCAUCCCUUUUUUUUUAUUUGGUUGACGAAAAUAUUCACAACGAAGGAUGCACAAAAGAAAGAAAAAAAUUAUUGAUGUGUUUUUGUUUUAAAUAAUUAUAAUUGAUGAUGAUCAUAUUCUCGUUCUCGUCCCAACAUGAUCUGAAAGGCCAAAACAUAUUACAAAAGAGGCUUGUGCCUUCUGGUUUGUAGGGAUUGCUAAUUAAAAAUAUCAUAUAUAUGAAAGACAAAAAGGACAAACGGUACGUGACGUAAACAAAUUUAACAAUUACUCCUGGAACUUAAAUAUAAAAUAAAAUAUCAUGCUUUAAUGUUAGUAUUUGAAAAU
rnacentral:lncRNA from 1 species